CACUUUCCCAACAGCAUCGCCCGCAUCCUGGAAUUUAACAUAAUUACUAAAAGAAAACUUUGUUGGCUGUUACAGGAAAUGCCAUGCUUUCUUUUGAUUUCACAUUGUAUUGUGAAUAUUAUAAAUAUUUUGCCCAUUUCUCCUAGUGGACAACACUGUUAGGGGAAAAAUGACCAGUUUGCACUUGAGGAAUACUAAAAUUGAGAAAAUUUUACCCAUAGACCUGGUCUUGAAAACAUACAUACUCUCAUCAUUUUAUUAAAUGUUUAAUGUUUGCACAAAUGAAUAAAAUUAGAUAACAUUCACUUAUUAAAGAAUUUGAAUUUAACACAUUGUUCUUUUUUGGAAUAUAGUUUUUUUGGGUAUGACAUAGAAAAUAAUGCCUUUAUCCCAUAAUCUGUCCCUAUUUUUGGCUGCUCAGACAUGGUACAUUCCUAUUUCCUUGCCCUUCUAAUGCUAGUGGUGUUGCCGGCAGAAUGAGAGUUACUUCUCCUUUCCUGCUGAGUCACAUGAGCCAACACACUCUGUGUAACCUGGGUGGGUUUGGCCAGAAAUCGGAGAUCAUCUUGAAAGCGAGGAAAGGUUCUUCCCACAGAGACUCAGGGGAAUCAUUUGUCAAUGAACAAAAGUUUAGACUGGCGAUGGAACUGGCUGUUAACAUGUUAAACCUACAGCCAGAAUUCCGGGUUACCCCCAGACCAGCUCUAAGUAGUUACAAAAAGCCUGAAAGAUUUAGUUGCACAUCUGUGUGCCCCAAGUCCACUAGUGAGUGAGCUGGCUACUCUCAACCGAGUCUCUUUUUUAGUCCAAAGCAAUGGCAGGAGAGCUGUACAUUUGAGAACAUGAGACCUUCAUGCACACACAUGAUGGAGCCCUGGCUUGGAACCAAACGCAGGAGGAUGUAGCAGAGGCAGGAACAACGGUUCCCUUAGCAUCUUUCUAGAAGAGGAGUUUGCUGGUGAGGAAGACGAGCAGGAUCUGGAUGGCAUCUGUGAUGGGGCUGAGGAAGAUUUUGUUGGCGAAGCUUUUGGCUGUGGUUAGAGUUGAAGUUGCGGUCUGGGCUGUGGUUAGGAAUCGGUUUGUCGUUAGGCUUUGGGCUGUGGUCGGCCUGGUCAUGGAGGUCAUUGAGGUCGUGGAGGUCAUGGAGGGUGAUGCUGUGAUCAUUGCUGGAGGAGAAAAGGACAUCAGAACCCACAUUGGAAAAUGAGGCUAAUCUGAUGGGACACUGGGGCCAGAGUUCAUGAGCAGAAUUCAGUAAGCACGUCUCAAAGGCCAAGUGUAUGUAGCGGAAGGGAAAGCUAUGGUGUAUAAAAUGUUACGGAGAGAAAGAACACUAUCUACCCCUAAGGUCUACAUAGUCCCGGAAGGAAUUUACAUAACUACAGAAUUUGUUGUUGGGUAGGUUGUCAGCCCUCAAGUGUCCUUAAUAUUGCAUUAGAUCCAUCAGGCAAAUAUGAUCCAGAAUGGCACAGUUUUAUUUUUUGUUGCUAAUUUCAAAGGUUGCAUGUGAAGCUUGUAAGAACUAGUUACCAGCCAGAACUGAGAAUGGCCACUCCUGCUUUAAAGUAAAUGGAAAGAGGUGCUGUCCAAACCUCUGAACCCCUUUCUGUGGUUGCUGAGGCCCUGGCCAUUUCCUGUGCAGUGAUCUGAUCACACACUGGUUCUCUGAGGUUGCCUUGCUGAGAAGCAGAGAAAGCCAGGUCUCUGGGGCAGGAGGUGGGGUAGUGAUAGGGCUAGGGUGGAGAU